UACGUAGGGUGCGAGCGUUGUCCGGAAUUACUGGGCGUAAAGCGCGUGUAGGUGGAUUGGUGUGUCAGAUGUGAAAUCCCUGGGCUCAACCCAGGAACUGCACCUGAAACUACCAGUCUUGAGUGGUGGAGAGGGAAGUGGAAUUCCUGGUGUAGAGGUGAAAUUCGUAGAUAUCAGGAGGAACACCAGUGGCGAAGGCGGCUUCCUGGACACCAACUGACGCUGAGACGCGAAAGCGUGGGGAGCAAACAGG
rnacentral:rRNA from 1 species